rnacentral:rRNA from 1 species
GACGAACGCUGGCGGCGUGCCUAAUACAUGCAAGUUGAGCGCUGAAGGUUGGUACUUGUACCGACUGGAUGAGCAGCGAACGGGUGAGUAACGCGUGGGGAAUCUGCCUUUGAGCGGGGGACAACAUUUGGAAACGAAUGCUAAUACCGCAUAAAAACUUUAAACACAAGUUUUAAGUUUGAAAGAUGCAAUUGCAUCACUCAAAGAUGAUCCCGCGUUGUAUUAGCUAGUUGGUGAGGUAAAGGCUCACCAAGGCGAUGAUACAUAGCCGACCUGAGAGGGUGAUCAGCCACAUUGAGACUGAGACACGGCCCAAACUCCUACGGGAGGCAGCAGUAGGGAAUCUUCGGCAAUGGACGAGAGUCUGACCGAGCAACGCCGCGUGAGUGAAGAAGGUUUUCGGAUCGUAAAACUCUGUUGGUAGAGAAGAACGUUGGUGAGAGUGGAAAGCUCAUCAAGUGACGGUAACUACCCAGAAAGGGACGGCUAACUACGUG